rnacentral:rRNA from 1 species
AUGGCGUGCGAGACCCAGUACGCCUCGCGGUUGCCCGACGACGUCGUUCUGGAGAUACUUUCCUUCCUGCCGGCCAAGUCGAUCGGCCGCUUCCGCAGUAUGUCGCGUUCGUGGCGCGCCGAGCUCUCCUCAACGUCCUUCGUCGAGUUCCACCGCCGGCGAGCCAACAAUCCAGACCAGCCCAAGCUCUUCUUUAGCGCCAACUUCGACGACGAGGCAUCCGGUUCCGAAGACGACAACGAGGCAUCCGGUUCCGAAGACGACGGCGACCAGGCAUCCGACGAUUCCAAAGACAAUGACGAGGCAUCCGACGAUUCCAAAGACAACGACGAGGCAUCCGAAGAUUCCGAAGACGAAGAGGGCUACUUCUAUUCCUGGCAGCCCGGUGGUGGUUCGGUCAAGAAGCUCAUGGAAUACGAUUUCUGGUGCCCGGCACCUCUCACCAAGCCUCUCCACGGCCUUGUCCUCAUCCGAUCCGUUUUCUUGGGCGGUCACAACCUCGGUGAUGGCUACGACGUGUGCAACCCUUCCACCGGCGAGUUCUUGUAUCUUCCUGACACCAGGCUGCCAUUGAAGACGAUCAUCCGGUAUUCCAACACUCAAGACCAUCCGCCGUGCUACAUGGACGUUGCGUACGGUUUUGGUUACUCCUCCGUAACACACGAGUAUAAAGCGGUGCGUAUGUUCAGCUCUGGUUACGUCCCCGCCACCACCUGCUGCGAGGUUCUCGUCCUUGGUGUGCCGGCAUGUUGGAGGCCAACGGCCCAACAGCCCCCGGAGUGCGUCGUGGAGGAGCACAACCCCGCCGUGUUCUUGAACGGCUACCUGCAUUUUCUCUGCAAAGAUGGUGGCAUCAUCACUUUCAGUGUCAACGACGAGACUUUCGAUUCGUUGUCGCCGCCGCCGCCCUACGGGAACCCUUACCCAGAGGACGAUGCUAUAGUCUCCAGGCUGACAGAGCUGGACGGGUGCUUAUGCCUGUGCCGUGAGAAGACCAAUGGUGACGGGCCAUACCAAGUGUGGUUGCUGAGAGACCACGAGCCACAACAAUGGGAGCAGCUUUGCUCCUUCGACCGGAGCGUUUGGCCGGAGCCCGAGCAGACGCAGCUGCGGACACAGUGGAUAACUCCACUCACUAUGCACAAUGGCAGAAGCGGACAGAGAAAGAUUAUGUUCGGGACUGGUACUUGCAGGGUGUUCACCGUGGACCUCGACGGCGAGCCUGAGGUGCUGCUUAUUCCGGACGAAGCCAUGUCCGGAAAUAUCUGUGAUAGCAAAGAUUACCCAGCAGUCGGUUUGUGA